GACGAACGCUGGCGGCGUGCUUAACACAUGCAAGUCGAGCGGUAAGGCCCUUUCGGGGUACGACGAGCGGCGAACGGGUGAGUAACACGUGGGUGACCUGCCCUCCAGCUCUGGGAUAAGCCUGGGAAACCGGGUCUAAUACUGGAUAUGACUCCAUGACGCAUGUUGUGGGGUGGAAAGCCUUGUGCGGCUGAGGAUGGGCCCGCGGCCUAUCAGCUUGUUGGUGGGGUGAUGGCCUACCAAGGCGACGACGGGUAGCCGGCCUGAGAGGGCGACCGGCCACACUGGGACUGAGACACGGCCCAGACUCCUACGGGAGGGCAGCAGUGGGGAAUCUUGCGCAAUGGGCGAAAGCCUGACGCAGCGACGCCGCGUGAGGGAUGACGGCCUCGGUUGUAAC
rnacentral:rRNA from 1 species